CCCUUAGAUGUUCUGGGCCGCACGCGCGCUACACUGACGAUGGCAACGAGUUUUUCCUUCGCCGAAAGGUGUGGGUAAUCUUUUGAAUGUGCAUCGUGAUUGGGAUAGAUGAUUGCAAUUUUUCAUCUUCAACGAGGAAUGCCUAGUAAACGCAAGUCAUCAGCUUGCAUUGAUUACGUCCCUGCCCUUUGUACACACCGCCCGUCGCUCCUACCGAUUGAAUGAUCCGAUGAAUAUCAUGGAUUGAGGAUGCAAGCAGGUUCGCCUGUCUUCAUCUUCGAGAAGUGAAGUAAAUCUUAUCAUUUAGAGGAAGGAGAAGUCGUAACA
rnacentral:rRNA from 1 species